UUCUUAGGGUCGAAUAGUGGGGCACCCCCAGAACUCGAUAAUUUACUGUUUUAAGACAGUUCUCUUCGAGUUUUUCAAUAACCCAAUAACUUUUCUAUUAUUAAUGGUAUUCCUUUUCCGUUUGGGUUCUCUCCUCAAGAAUCAGGAAACGGUCGACGGGUGCUGCUCUGUGUUCGGCUGUUUUUU
rnacentral:telomerase_RNA from 1 species